rnacentral:hammerhead_ribozyme from 1 species
AUCCAACAGACGAGUCCUAAAUAAGACGAAACGCGCGUCCUGGAU